UUAAGCGACUAAGCGUACACGGUGGAUGCCCUGGCAGUCAGAGGCGAUGAAGGACGUGCUAAUCUGCGAAAAGCGUCGGUAAGGUGAUAUGAACCGUUAUAACCGGCGAUGUCCGAAUGGGGAAACCCAGUGCAAUUCGUUGCACUAUCGUUAACUGAAUACAUAGGUUAACGAGGCGAACCGGGGGAACUGAAACAUCUAAGUACCCCGAGGAAAAGAAAUCAACCGAGAUUCCCCCAGUAGCGGCGAGCGAACGGGGAGCAGCCCAGAGUCUGAAUCAGCUUGUGUGUUAGUGGAACGGUCUGGAAAGUCCGACGGUACAGGGUGAUAGUCCCGUACACCAAAAUGCACAGGUUGUGAACUCGAAGAGUAGGGCGGGACACGUGGUAUCCUGUCUGAAUAUGGGGGGACCAUCCUCCAAGGCUAAAUACUCCUGACUGACCGAUAGUGAACCAGUACCGUGAGGGAAAGGCGAAAAGAACCCCGGCGAGGGGAGUGAAAAAGAACCUGAAACCGUGUACGUACAAGCAGUGGGAGCACCUUCGGGUGUGACUGCGUACCUUUUGUAUAAUGGGUCAGCGACUUAUAUUCUGUAGCAAGGUUAACCGUAUAGGGGAGCCGCAGGGAAACCGAGUCUUAACUGGGCGUUAAGUUGCAGGGUAUAGACCCGAAACCCGGUGAUCUAGCCAUGGGCAGGUUGAAGGUUGGGUAACACUAACUGGAGGACCGAACCGACUAAUGUUGAAAAAUUAGCGGAUGACUUGUGGCUGGGGGUGAAAGGCCAAUCAAACCGGGAGAUAGCUGGUUCUCCCCGAAAGCUAUUUAGGUAGCGCCUCGUGAACUCAUCUUCGGGGGUAGAGCACUGUUUCGGCUAGGGGGUCAUCCCGACUUACCAACCCGAUGCAAACUACGAAUACCGAAGAAUGUUAUCACGGGAGACACACGGCGGGUGCUAACGUCCGUCGUGAAGAGGGAAACAACCCAGACCGCCAGCUAAGGUCCCAAAGUCAUGGUUAAGUGGGAAACGAUGUGGGAAGGCACAGACAGCCAGGAUGUUGGCUUAGAAGCAGCCAUCAUUUAAAGAAAGCGUAAUAGCUCACUGGUCGAGUCGGCCUGCGCGGAAGAUGUAACGGGGCUAAACCAUGCACCGAAGCUGCGGCAGCGACACUAUGUGUUGUUGGGUAGGGGAGCGUUCUGUAAGCCUGCGAAGGUGGCCUGUGAGGGCUGCUGGAGGUAUCAGAAGUGCGAAUGCUGACAUAAGUAACGAUAAAGCGGGUGAAAAGCCCGCUCGCCGGAAGACCAAGGGUUCCUGUCCAACGUUAAUCGGGGCAGGGUGAGUCGACCCCUAAGGCGAGGCCGAAAGGCGUAGUCGAUGGGAAACAGGUUAAUAUUCCUGUACUUGGUGUUACUGCGAAGGGGGGACGGAGAAGGCUAUGUUAGCCGGGCGACGGUUGUCCCGGUUUAAGCAUGUAGGCGGAGGUUCCAGGUAAAUCCGGUACCUUUUAACGCUGAGGUGUGAUGACGAGGCACUACGGUGCUGAAGUAACAAAUGCCCUGCUUCCAGGAAAAAGCCUCUAAGCAUCAGGUAACAUUAAAAUCGUACCCCAAACCGACACAGGUGGUCAGGUAGAGAAUACCAAGGCGCUUGAGAGAACUCGGGUGAAGGAACUAGGCAAAAAUGGUGCCGUAACUUCGGGAGAAGGGCACGCUGGUGUGUAGGGUGAAGUCCCUGCGGAUGGAGCUGAGACCAGUCGAAGAUACCAGCUGGCUGCAACUGUUUAUUAAAAACACAGCACUGUGCAAACACGAAAGUGGACGUAUACGGUGUGACGCCUGCCCGGUGCCGGAAGGUUAAUUGAUGGGGUUAUCCGUAAGGAGAAGCUCUUGAUCGAAGCCCCGGUAAACGGCGGCCGUAACUAUAACGGUCCUAAGGUAGCGAAAUUCCUUGUCGGGUAAGUUCCGACCUGCACGAAUGGCGUAAUGAUGGCCAGGCUGUCUCCACCCGAGACUCAGUGAAAUUGAACUCGCUGUGAAGAUGCAGUGUACCCGCGGCAAGACGGAAAGACCCCGUGAACCUUUACUAUAGCUUGACACUGAACAUUGAGCCUUGAUGUGUAGGAUAGGUGGGAGGCUUUGAAGCGUGGACGCCAGUCUGCGUGGAGCCAACCUUGAAAUACCACCCUUUAAUGUUUGAUGUUCUAACGUUGGCCCGUAAUCCGGGUUGCGGACAGUGUCUGGUGGGUAGUUUGACUGGGGCGGUCUCCUCCCAAAGAGUAACGGAGGAGCACGAAGGUUAGCUAAUCCUGGUCGGACAUCAGGAGGUUAGUGCAAUGGCAUAAGCUAGCUUGACUGCGAGCGUGACGGCGCGAGCAGGUGCGAAAGCAGGUCAUAGUGAUCCGGUGGUUCUGAAUGGAAGGGCCAUCGCUCAACGGAUAAAAGGUACUCCGGGGAUAACAGGCUGAUACCGCCCAAGAGUUCAUAUCGACGGCGGUGUUUGGCACCUCGAUGUCGGCUCAUCACAUCCUGGGGCUGAAGUAGGUCCCAAGGGUAUGGCUGUUCGCCAUUUAAAGUGGUACGCGAGCUGGGUUUAGAACGUCGUGAGACAGUUCGGUCCCUAUCUGCCGUGGGCGCUGGAGAAUUGAGGGGGGCUGCUCCUAGUACGAGAGGACCGGAGUGGACGCAUCACUGGUGUUCGGGUUGUCAUGCCAAUGGCACUGCCCGGUAGCUAAAUGCGGAAGAGAUAAGUGCUGAAAGCAUCUAAGCACGAAACUUGCCCCGAGAUGAGUUCUCCCUGAGACUUUAAGUCUCCUGAAGGAACGUUGAAGACGACGACGUUGAUAGGCCGGGUGUGUAAGCGCAGCGAUGCGUUGAGCUAACCGGUACUAAUGAACCGUGAGGCUUAACCUU
rnacentral:rRNA from 1 species